GUUCAAAUGAGGAAGGGCUUACGGUGGAUACCUAGGCACCCAUAGACGAGGAAGGGUGUGGUAAGCGAUGAAAUGCUUCGGGGAGUUGAAAAUGAGCAUAGAUCCGGAGAUUCCCGAAUAGGUUAACCUUUUUAACUGUUGCUGAAUCCAUGGGCAGGCAAGAGACAACCUUUCGAACUGAAACAUCUUA
rfam:Picea glauca, whole genome shotgun sequence.